ensembl:rRNA 5S_rRNA 5S ribosomal RNA
AGCCACAGCCAUAUCACCCUGCAGCCCAAGAUUACUUACUGAUUACUCACUGAAGCAGGGUGAGCCCGGUAAGUACCUGAAUGGGAGACCACAUGGGAAAACUAGGUUGCUGUUGGAA